CUUCAGCGAGCCCAGCCACAGCGGGGUCUCCCGGUCCUGGCCGUAGGUCGCCAGCAGCGCCUGGGCCUC
rfam:Actinokineospora bangkokensis strain 44EHW Scaffold17, whole genome shotgun sequence.